CCUACGGGACGCAGCAGUGGGGAAUAUUGCACAAUGGGCGCAAGCCUGAUGCAGCCAUGCCGCGUGUAUGAAGAAGGCCUUCGGGUUGUAAAGUACUUUCAGCGGGGAGGAAGGCGAUAAGGUUAAUAACCUUGUCGAUUGACGUUACCCGCAGAAGAAGCGCCGGCUAACUCCGUGCCAGCAGCCGCGGUAAUACGGAGGGUGCAAGCGUUAAUCGGAAUUACUGGGCGUAAAGCGCACGCGGGCGGUCUGUCAAGUCGGAUGUGAAAUCCCCGGGCUCAACCUGGGAACUGCAUUAGAAACUGGCAGGCUGGAGUCUUGUAGAGGGGGGUAGAAUUCCAGGUGUAGCGGUGAAAUGCGUAGAGAUCUGGAGGAAUACCGGUAGCGAAGGCGGCUCCCUGGACAAAGACUGACGCUCAGGUGCGAAAGCGUGGGGAGCAAACAGGAUUAGAUACCCCAGUAGUC
rnacentral:rRNA from 1 species